rnacentral:misc_RNA from 1 species
AAGUCGUAGGUGAACCUGCGGAAGGAUCAUUAACACGUAUCCAAACGUUAAAAAAAAACAAAUACCCCGUGAAUUGUACUUACGCUUAAAUCAUCGCGGAACAGCGUGAAGUCUAAGACGAGGCGAAGUAGUGGCCUUGUCAUGAGCUUUGUAACGAUGGCGAGAGGCCAUCACGACCGGCGACCUGGCCAGAGCGCGAGCCCCCCUGAUCACCCCUUUGAAAACGGGCCUGCGCUUAAUUGUGCGGCCACCAAACUCGAAACAACUGCUAACAAUGGAUAUCUUGGUU